CGCAUCGGCAGUAGCGCGGUGGUCCCACCUGACCCCAUGCCGAACUCAGAAGUGAAACGCCGUAGCGCCGAUGGUAGUGUGGGGUCUCCCCAUGCGAGAG
rnacentral:rRNA from 1 species